rnacentral:siRNA from 1 species
AUGCAGUCUCCGCCUCGGAUUCA